rnacentral:rRNA from 1 species
GUCUCCUCUGACGUUGGCGGCGGACGGGGUGAAUCACACGUGAUAUAACCUACCUAUGAGACUGGGAUAACUUCGGGAAACCGGAGCUAAUACGGGAUAACAUGUUGAACCGGAUGGCUUCAACAGAGAAAGACGGUCUUGCUGUCACUUAUAAAUGGAUCCGCGCCACUUUAUCUAUUUGGUAGGGUAACGGCUUACCAGGGCAAAGAUGCGUACCCGACCUGAGAGGGUGAUCGGCCACACUGGAACUGAGACACGGUCCACACUCCUACGGGAGGCAGCAGUAGGGAAUCUUCCGCAGUGGGCGAAAGCCUGACAGAGCCACCCCGCGUGAGUGAAAAAGGUCUUCAGAUCGUAAAACUCUGUUAUUAGGGAAAAACAAAUGUGUAAGUAACUAUGCACGUCUUGACGGUACCUAAUCAGAAAGCCACGGCUAACUACGUGCCAGCAGCCGCGGUAAUACGUAGGUGGCAAGCGUUAUCCGGAAUUAUUGGGCGUAAAGCGCGCGUACGCGGUUUUUUAAGUCUGAUGUGAAAGCCCACGGCUCAACCGUGGAGGGUCAUUGGAAACUGGAAAACUUGAGUGCAAAAGAAAGUGGAAUUCC